UCUAGGCAGACUGACAACCACCAGAUCUGGAGACCUAUUUCCCUGUGAAAGUUGAAUUUCAGAGAUUGUCCACUACUGGUAUUCUUCCAGAAAGUAAAGUCAUUAUACAUGUUUCCAAAGAUACCCUUCUGAAGCCAAAAACGUAAGAUUAUGGAACAGUGACUAAAAACAAAAAUUGGAGAUGAAGACUGGCUGAGGAACCCAACCUACAGAAAAGAAUAGGGACCUGAGGCACCUGAACUACAACUCCCAUGAGUCAUUGCAGCAGCAUUUCAAAAUGUUUUUUUUUUCUUCGUUUGAGCUGAAAGCAGACACUUGGAAAGUUUUGUUUAGUCAAAAAACUACUAUUCCAUUGAAAAAAAAAGUUUUGAUGGAAAAUUUUCAGCCAGCUCCAGGAAUUAAUACACUGUAGACUAUUUUUUCAAGUUUGAAUUUUCUAUUAUAUAUAUUUGGAGUCUAGUGUUCUCUCAAUGAGUAAAUGAGCACAAAGUUUGCAUCUGAACUUCCCUAAGCUCAGAGGCAUUUUGAGCUAGGCCAGACUUUGCUUAGUAAUGAGUUAAAAUUAUGUGCACUCAGCAAGAAGAGAACAUACCCCCUAGCUUGAAUUAAUAUCUAACAUGCAUCCUAUUUACUGGGGUUAAUAUGAAACUAGACAAAACUAUUUCAAAAUAUCACUGUGCAAAUGAUUCUGUCAGACUGAGCUGUGGGAGGUUAGAAUGAAAUUCCUGUGCUCACAGUGAGCUCAGCUCACCAGCAGGAGAGAAAAAAAUCACUGUUUAAGGGAGGGCCCCACAGCUUUGCACCUGCAGUUCAGUUUCUGCAAUCCAUCAUUUACAUUACCUUUGGAAAUGGAGGGUUAGGAAAAUCUUGUGGCAAAUUUACAGUGAACUGUGAAUGCUUCCUGUCCUGUCCUCCCUGCCUCAGCUACAGCUGGAAUCUAAUAACUCAAAAUCAGUUAUUUCCUGACAAAAUAAUAUAUUUCUGCUUACAAUUAUUCUUUCUGGGGAACUGAAAUGGUACUAUGGAGAGUGUUGGAUGAUGAGUCCUAUAGGUUGUAAAAUCUAAGUUCAUUCUGAUCCUACAUUAAAACCAAUAUUUACCUUGCCUCUGA